GUAGUAGCAAAUACUCUAGCGAGGACCUGGAGGGCUGAGGCGGAGAAGGGUUUCGUGUGAACAGCCGUUGCACACGAGUCAGUCGAUCCUAAGCCCUAGGAGAAAUCCGAAGGAUGGGGCGGUUGGCAGCCCCGCAGGGCGAAAGGGAAUCCGGUCCCUAUUCCGGAACCCGGUAGCGGAACCGAUUCACGUCGGGCCCCCCGUCUUCGGACGGGAAGCUCGUCGGGGUAACCCAAAAUGACCCGGAGAAGCCGUCGGGAGGUCGGGGAAGAGUUGUCUUUUCUGUUUGAGCGUUCGGGUUCCCUGGAAUUCUCUAGCAGAGAGAGAGGGAAUGGAGCGCGUAGAGCACCGCAGUUGCGGCGGUGUCCCGACAUGCCCCUCGGACCUUGAAAAUCCGGGGAAGGGCCACGUGGAGGUGUCGCGCCGGUUCGUACCCAUAUCCGCAGCAGGUCUCCAAGGUGAAGAGCCUCUAGUCGAUAGAAGAAUGUAGGUAAGGGAAGUCGGCAAAUUGGAUCCGUAACUUCGGGAUAAGGAU
rnacentral:rRNA from 3 species